UCAGCAAAUAUUAGGCUAACUCUAGGCAGAUGCCUCCUUGCUCCAGGCUGACAAGCCCGGGCUUGUGCUUAUUUCACUGUCCAACCCUGCCCAGGCGCCGGGGAGAAGCCUGGUAUUCUUCGUGUUUAUUUAAUUGUCAACUCUCUGUGUUCUAAGACGAUACCCUGGCCUCGACUCAGUACAACCUAGGACUGUAAGUCCCAUGAUGUCUAUGGACUUCAGUUUCCAGACAUGAAACACAAGAGGCUUGGACGAGAUUAGAAAUCAAGAACUCGAAUGCGUAUGGUCAGAGCCACGAGGAAUUCCUGUGAGCAUUCCUCUUCAAGAUGGAAGAAAAAGGGAACAUUUCACAGCCCCUAUGGUACAACGUCUGCCUAUAGCCAACAAUACAAUCUCCAUCCAUGUAUGAUGUGACUUGCUCCUACAUGCCUUCCACCAUAAUUAUGAGGCCUCCUGAGCCAUGUGGAACUGUAAGUCUGUUAAACCUCUUUUUCUUCCCAGUCUUUGGUAUGUCUUUAUCAGCAGUGUGAAAAUGGACUAAUACAAGAUAUAUUUAAAAAUGCUCAACAUCACUAAUCAUCAGGGAAAUGCAAAUCAAAAUUAUGAGAUAGCACUUCACUCCAGUCAGAAUGGCUAUGGCUACUAUAAAAACUUAUCUCACUUUUGAUCUGUAGCCAUUAUAUUUAAAAGUUUCAUCAAUUCUAAGAUGCAUGUUUAUAAAAAAUCAAUCUCUCUGAAAUCAGGAGUAUUUAAUAAUUGGAGACAUUAAUUUAAAGAAAAUGCUAUAUAUCUUAUUAUUUUAAAGACAGCAUCAGAAUUCCCCAGGGGUUAAAUUUGUAACAUCAUGUCCAUGUGUAAUUUUAAAUUUAUCCAAUAAGAAUAAGAUGGUUGAUUGAAGGUGCUUAGUGCUUAUUCCCCUCCUCACAAAAAUGGACCAAAACAGUAAACAAAUAACUACAUUUUGACCAGAGUGACUAAAGGAGAGUGCUGAAGUAUAGCAAGGGAGUGGCAGAAACUCUGUGUGGCAUAGAAACUCAGGAUGGCUUCAUAGAAAAGGGGUUGAAACACCUUGCUUCUGCCAGCCCAUUCCCUGAGUUGGGAUCAACUCAGAAACCAGGAGGGCCUUCUCUCUCUAACGAAGAGGUAAGCAAGAGGCCCUGAGAGACCCUCAUCACCACCACAGGCACUUGCAGUCUUCACUACUGGAGAAGCCUGCAAUCCUCACAGGCACUGAGUCCAGUUUAGGGAGCUGCCUGGAGUUCAUACAGCUGCAUUACUCCAGGGGAGGAGCCCACAUUGUGCCCUGCUCCUUGUUUUCCAACCUCCUACUGCAUGGUUCCAUUUUCAAACCACAGCCCCUCUUAGAGUGUACCCUGCUCCAGGGACCAGUAGCCAUUGCAUCCCUCCAUCCCAGAGAUUCUGCUGUUAUGGCUUCACACAGACACACAGUACUGCACCACAUUCUCCAGCUAUACUGCCCAGGAAUCACUCUACCUUCCCCAUCCCUGUUGCUGCUGCACCUCAACCUGCUACUUGAAACCAUAGGCCCAGCAAAGAAACUGUGCUCCAAGUGCCUAAACCAAUUCAGUUCCCUGUUCCCCAGGAAUCAGAGCUUCAGCAUAGGGAAGCAGCCAUGACCCCAGCAUCGAAGCCCAUGCUGUGCCUUGCCCUUAGGAGACCAGGUGCUCUCAUCUAGUGUAAUAGCUGUACCUAAGCCUGUGGAGCAGUCAAGGCCCCUCAGCUUUAACCAAUCUGAUUCCCCACCCCCAGGGAAUCACAGUUUUGGCCCUGAGAGCAGCUGAAAGCCUGACACUCAAGCCCAUAUGGAACCUUGUUCCCUGGAAACCAGAUGCACGUGCCUUUCAGAGUAGCUGUGCCCUCAGCACUUGAAGCAACCCAGUACCUUGCCUCUCUGAAUCGGAGCUUCAGCCCAGGGGAGUAGCUGUGACACUGGCACUUGAGCCCAUAUAGCAUCAGACCUCUCAGAUAUCCAGAGCCUGGUCCAGAAGAGCAGUUACACCCCCUGGCACCUGAGUGAUGUGAUGCCUUACACUCAGGGAAACAGAGCCUUGGAUGAGCUUUGCCACCCCACUGUCUGGGCUGAACAGCUGCAGUGGCCUGCUUCCAUGAAUCUGGACUAUCCCACUGAAGUCUGAGUGGUUGAGUUAGGCCAUAAUUACACUGCUUCUCACCGUCUGGAGUUCAAGUCACUGCUGUACCCUGCCAUUCCUGGGUCCUUUCUAUCACCACGCUUGGCAUCACAAAGUUUGAGCCAGUGCUGUAUCCUACCACUCCAGUGUCCAGAGUCACCACUGUGUGGUGUAAUUUCUCCUGUUGCUCGAGUUACCACUGUGCCCUGUUGUAUCUUGGAGCCCAAAUUGCAGCUGUUCCCUGCUUUAAGGAGCAUAAUAAUGCUCUAGUAACUAACCUCAAAGAAAUGAAAAUCUAUGAAUUAUUUGAAAAGGAAUUUGAAACAAUGCUUUAAGGAUACUCAGUAAGAUACAGGAGAAUACAGAUAGAUAAUUUAAUGAAAUUAGAAAAACAAUUCAUAAUAAAAAUGAAAAAUUCAACAAAAAGAUGUUAUAGAAAAGAGCCAACAGAGAUCUUGGAGCUGAGGAACACUAUGAAUGAAAUAGAAAAUACGAUUGAGAGUAACAGUAAAUUACAUAAAGGAGAAGGAAGAAUCUGUAAACUUGAAGACAGGUCUUUUGAAAUCAACUAAUCCAUGGAAAAAAACAAGAUUAAAAAAAGAGUGAAGAAAGCCUACAGGACUUAUGGGAUAACAUUAAGCAAACAAAGAUUUGCAUUAUGGGAAUUCCAGAGUACAAAGAGAUGGUGAAGGUCACAGAAACAUUAUUUAACAAAAUAAUUAUGGAAAACUUCUCAAGUCUUAGAAGUGAUUUGGGUAUCCAGAUCCAUUUGGCUCAAACCAAAAACAGGUUCAACUCAAAGAGGUCCAUAUUGAGGCACAUUAUAAUCAAAAUGUCAAAAGUCAAAGACAAAGAAAAACUUAAAAGCAACAAGAGAAUAUCAUUAAAUGACAGAGAAGAAAAUCUCCUUUAGUCUAUCAACAGAUUUCUCAGCAGAAACUUUUCAGGCCAAGAGAAAAUGGGAUGAUAUAUUCAAAAUGCUGAAAGAAAAAUCUGCCAGUCAAGAAUACUCUAUCUAGUAAAACUGUCCUACAGAAAUGAAGGAGAAAUAAUUUCCUAGACAAACAAAAGUUGAGGGAAUUCAUUACCACUAGAACUGCCUUAUAUGAUAUGCCUAAGGGAGUGUUUCAACCAGAAAUGAAAGCAUGAUAAUUACUAACAUGAAAAUGUAUGAAAUAAACCUCAUUGGCAGAGGUAAAUUCAUAAUCAAAUUCAAAAUGCUGUGUGACAGAAGUGGUGGUGGGUAAAUCUUUCAAAUCUCUAGUAUGAAGGUUAAAAGUCAAAAUGGUAAAAAUAAGUAACUAUAGUUACCAUAAGUUGCUAAGGAAUAUACAAUACAAAAGAAUGCAAAUUGUGGUAACCCUAUUAUAAAUCAUAAUGAGGAGGAUAAAAUAUUUGAUGUGACCCAAAUUAAGUUGUUAUCAGCUAAAAAUAGCUUAUUAUAACUAUAAGAUAUUUUAUGUAAACCCCAUGAUAACUACAAAGCAAAAAACUACAGCACAUACAUGAACAAGAAAGAGAAAAAAAUAAAAAUUAGCGCUCCAGAAAAUCACCAAAUCACCAAGAUGAACAAUAAGAGAGGAAGAAAGAAAAGUGAUCUAACAAUGUCAACAAAAUGGCAGCAAUAAAUCCUUACCUAUCAUUAAAAAACUUAAAUGUAAAUAGAUUAAACUCUCUUAUUAGAAGACAAAAAAGUGGCUGAAUGGAUUUAAAAAAAGAAGAUGCAACUAUAUUGUGCUUACAAGAGACCAUUUUUGUUUUAAGGAUAAAUACAGUUUGAAAGUGAGAUAGAAGAAGAUAUUACAGGCCACUAGUAACUAGAAAAAAGCUGAGGUGGUUUUAUUUAUAUCAGUUAAAAUAGACAUUAAGUCAAGAACUGUUAUAACAGACAAAAGGGCCAUUAUUUAAUAAUAAAGGAGUCAACUCAUCAAGAAGACAAUUUAUAAUUUUUAAUCACAAUAUUUACAAUUUUCAUAAUUAUAAAUGUAGAUGCACUCAACAUAAAAGCACAUAAAUAUAUAAAGCGAAUUUUAAUGAACAUGAGGGAAGAAAUAGAUAGCAAUACAAUAAUACUAGGGUACUUUAAUAUCCCACUUUCAAUAAUGGAUAGAUCAGCUGGACAGAAGGUUCACAAGGAAAUUCUGGAACAGAACUGAACUUUACACCAAUUGGACCUUAGAGACACAUAUAGAGUUUUUCAUCUGACAGUAGCGGAAUAUAUAUUCUUCUUUAACAUUCAUGAGCUGUACUUCAGUAUAGACCAUAUGUUAGGCCACGAAACAAGUCUUAGCAAAUUAAAAGAUAUUGAAAUUAUAUCUAGUAUUGUCUCCAACCAGAAUAGUACCAUUGUAGUUUCAUACUGGAAAUCAGUAACAGGAAGAAUCUUGGAAAAUUUACAAAUAUGUGGAAAUUAAACAACAUGCUUCUGAACAACCAAGGUUAAAGAAAAAAAUAAAAGAGAAAACUUAAAAAAUUUCUUGAGACAAAUGGCAAUGGAAGCACAACAUAUGCCAACCUAUGGGGUAUAGCAACAUCCAAAGCAAUUCUAAGAGGGAAGUUGAUAGCAAUAAGUGCCUACAUUAAAAAUGAAGGAAUAUCCCCAAAACAUAGUGCAACAUUAUGCUUCAAGGGGCUAGAAAAAGAACAAACUAAACCCAAAGUUAGUAGAAGGAAAUAAAUAAUAAAGAUCAGAGAAAAAAAUAAAUCAAAUAGAAAACAGAAAACUACAGAAAAAAAUCAAUAAAAUCAAGAAUUGGAUUUUUGAGAAAUUAAACAAAAUAAUCAAAUCCUUCAACUAAGAAAAAAAAGAGAGAAGCCUCAAAAAAUAAAAUUAGAAAUGAAAGUGGAGACAUUUUAACAGAUAUAUCAGAAAUAAAAAGGGUCAUAACGGACUACUAUGAACAAUUCUAUGUCAACAAAUAGAAUAACCUAGGCGACAUUGAUAAAUUUCUAGAAAAAUAUAACCUACCAAGUUUGAGUCAGGAAGUAAUAGAAAGUUUGAGUAAAUCAAUAACAAAUAAAGAGAUGGAAGAGUUUAAAACCUAUAAGCCCAAGACCAGGUGGCUUUUUGGUUGAAUUCUACCAAAAAUUCAAAGAAGCAUCAUCAUCAAUACUUCUUAAAUGUAUGCAAAAAAUAGAGCUAGCAGAAAUACUUCCAAACACAUUUUCGAAGCCAGCAUCACUUUGCUACUUAAACCAGAAAAAGAUACCACAAGAGAACAAAACUACAGGCUCUGAUGAUCUUUGAUGCAAACAUCUUCAAUAAAAUAUUAGCAAACCGAAUUCAAGAACACAUCAAGAAGAUUACACAUCAUGACCAAGUGAGAUUUAUCUCUGCCAUGCAAAGCUUUUUAAAAAAUUAAUCAAUAUGAUAUAAAAUUAAAUCAAUGUGAUUUAUCAUAUUAACAGAAUGAAAGAACAUACAUGAUCAUCUCAAUUGACACAGAGAAAAGCAUUUGACAAAAGUUCAGCGUUCUUUCUUCAUGAAAACUCUUAACAGUUUAGAUAAAGAAAGUUUCUCAACAUAACAAAGGUCAUUUAUGAAAUAUCCACAGAUAACAUCAUAUCAGUGGGGAACAAGUGAAAGUUUUCUACUAAGAUCCAGUUCAAGGUAGAAUGCACACUUUUACCACUUCUAUUCAAUAUAGUACUGCAAGUACAAUAUAGUACUGCAAGAGCAAUCAGAGAAGAAGAAAAAAUAAAGGCAUCCAAACUGAGAAGAAAGAAAUAAGAUUAUCUCUAUUUGCAGAUGACAUAAUUGUAUUGUAGAAAGCCCUAAAUAUUUCACAAAAAAACCACACUAUAACAAAUAAAGAUAUUCAGUAAAGUUGCAGGAUACAAAAGGAACAUACAAAAAUCAUUAGCAUUUCUAUACACCAAUAGAAAUGUAGCUGAAAAAAAAAUCAAGAAAACAAUUUCAUUUAGAAUAGCAUAAAAAAUACCAAAGGGGUGAAAUAUUUAUAUAAUUAAAAUUAUAAAACUUAAAUGAAAGAAAUUGAAGAAGACACAAAAAUUGGAAAGAUAACAUGUGCUCAUGGAUUGGAAGAAGUAAAAUUGUUAAAAUGUCCUGCUACCCCAAAUCAGUAUGCAGAUGUGACAAAAUCCCUAUCAAAAUUCCAAUGGCAUUCUUCAUAGAGAUAGCAAAAACAAUAGAAAUAGAAAUAGAAAAACAAUCUUAAAAUUUAUACAGAACCACAAAAAACCAGACUAGCCAAAAUAAUACAAAGACAAAGUUGGAAGCAUCAAGCAUCACACAUCCUGAUUUAAAGUUAUAUUCCAAAGCUAUAGUAACCAAAUAGUAUGAUACUAGCAUUAAAACAGAACCGUAGACCCAAGAAACAGGAUAGAAAGCCCACAGAUAAAUUCAAACAUAUGUGAUCGACUGAUUUUUAACAAGGGCACAAAGAGAACACAAUGGGGAAAGGAUAGUUUCCUCAGUAAAAUGUGCUGUGAAAACUUGAUUUCCACAAGCAAAAUGAUAAAAUUGGACACAAUUUUACACCAUAUGUAAAAAUCAACUCAAAAUGAAUGAAAGGCCUAAGUGUUAGACCUGAAAUCAUAAAACCAUGAAACUCCUAGAAGAGAACAUCACGUGAAAACUCCUUGACAUUGCCUGACAAUGACUUUUUGGAUAUCACAUCAAAAGCUCGGGCUACAAAAGCAAAAUGAUAAUAAAUGACCAUUACUGGUUUAUGUGUUUACUAUACUAUACAUUAUUAUUUUAGAGUGUACUCUUUCUAUUUAUUAAAAACAAUGUUAAUUGUAAAACAGUAUCAGGCUGGUCCUUCAGGAAGUAUCCAGAAGAAGGCAUUGUUGUAAUGGGAGAUGAGAGCAUAUGUGUUAUUGAUGCUGAAGGCCUUCCAGUGGGACAAGAUGUGGAGGCGGGAGACAGUGAUAUGGAUGAUCUUGACCCUGAGUAGGCCUAGCCUAAUAUGUAUGUUUAUGUCUUCGUUUUUAACAAGGAAGUUUAAAAGUAAAAAAAGUAAAAGAAUUUUAACAUAGAACAAAGCUAAUAGCGUAGGGAUAAAAAUAGAAAAUAUUUUUGUACAGCUGUACAAUGUGCUUUUGUUUUAAGCUAAGUGUUAUUAUAAAAGUCAAACAGAUAAAAACCAUUAACAAGUUUAUAAAGUAAAAAUGUUACAGUAAGUAGGGUAAGUUUAUAAUUGAAGAAAGAAAAUGUAAAAAUAAGUUUAGUGUAGUCCAAGUGUACAGUGUUUAUAAAGUCUACAGUAGUGUACAGUAAUGUCCUAGUCCUUCACAUUCACUCAUUGCUCACUCAGUGACUCACCCAAAUCAGCUUCUAGUUCAGCAAGCUCCAUUCAUGGUAAGUGCUCUAUAUAGGUGUACUACUUAUUAUCUUUUAUACCAUGUUUUUACUGUACCUUUUCUAUGUUUAGAUAUACAAACACUUAUCCUUACGUUACAUUUGCCUACAGUAUUUUACUACAAUAACAUCCUAUGCAGGUUUAUAGUGUAGAAACAAUAGGCUAUACCAUGUAACCUAAAUAUGUAGUAGCAUAUGGCAUCAGGUUUGUGUAAGUGCACUCUAUGGUGUUCAAAAAACAACAAAAUUACCUAACAGUGCAUUUCUCAGAAUGUGUCCACAUCAUUAGGUGAUGCAUGACUGUAUGUAAAAAGGUGCUCCAUACCACCAUUCAUCAAGGAAAUGAAAAUUAAAACCACUAUGAGAUAUCACCUCACACCUGUUUGAAUGGCUGUUAUCAAAAGGACAAGAGAUAAUAAAUGUUGGCAAGGUUGCAGAGAAAAGGAGACCCUAAUACAUUGUUAGUGGGAAUGUAGCUUGGUACAAAUGUUAUGGAAGAUGAUCUGGAGGUUCCUAAGAAAUUUAAAAAUAGAACUACCAUAUAACCCAGCAACCCCUUUUUUGGGGUAUAUACCCAAAGGAGAUGAAAUCAUCAUCCCUGCACUUCUGUGUUCACUGCAGCAAUAUUCAGAAUAGCCAAAAUAUGGAAACAACCUAAACGUCUGUCAACAGAUGAAUGGAUAAUAACAAUAACAAUGUGGCACUAUAUAGCUAAUAUAAUAGCUAAUAGCUAUUAUAUUAUAGCUAUUGUAAUUGUAUAUAUAUAUACACACACAUUCUAUAUGUACAUAUAUAUGUGCAAUGAAAUGUUAUUCAGUCUUAAAAAAGGAAUAGACCUGUGUGACAUUAUGCUAAGGGAAAUAAACCAGACACAGAAAGAAAAAUAGUACAUUGCCUCACUCACAUGUGGAAUCUAAAAAUAAAAUAAAAGGUCAAAUAUGGAUUCCCGGGCAUGAUGGCUGAAUAGGAACAACUCUGGUCUGCAGCUCCCAGAGACGAAUGCAGAAGGCGGGUGAUUUCUGCAUUUCCAACUAAGGUACCUGGUUCAUCUCAUUGGGACUGGUUAGACAAUGGAUGCAGCCCACCGAGGAUGAACAAAAGCAGGGUGGGGCAUUGCCUCACCUGGGAAGCACAAAGGGUCAGGGAACUCCCUCCCCUAGCCAAGGGAGGCCAUGAGGGACUGUGCCAUGAAGGAUGGUGCUAUCGGGCUCAGAUACUAUGCUUUUCCCAUGGUCUUAACAACCCACAGACCAGGAGAUUCUCUUGGGUGCCUAUACCACAAGGGCCCUGGGUUUCAAGCAGAAAACUGGGCAGCCGUUUGGGCAGACACUGAGAUAGCUGCAGGAGUUUUAUUUUGUACUCCAGUGGCACCUGGAACACCAGCAAGACAGAACCGUUUACUCCCCUGGAAAGGGGGCUGACGUCAGGGAAGCAAGUGGUCUUGCUCAGCAGAUCCCACCCACACAGAGCCCAGCAAGCUAAGACCCACUGGCUUGAAAUUCUCGCUGCCAGCACAGCAGUCUGAAGUGGACCUGAGAUGCUGGAGCUUGGUGGGGGGAGGGGCAUCCACCAUUACUGAGCUUUGAGUAGGCUGUUUGCCUCUCACAGUGUAAACAAAGCCACCGGGAAGUUUGGAUUGGACAGAGCCCACUGCAGCACUGCAAAGCCACUGUAGCCAAACUGCCUUUCUAGAUUCCUCUUCUCUGGGCAGGGCAUCUCUGAGAGAAAGGCAGCAGCCCCAGUCAGGGGAUUAUAGAUAAAACUCACAUCUCCCUGGGACAGAGCACCUGGGGGAAGGGGCAGCUGUGGGUGCAGCUUCAGUAGACUUAAACGUUCCUGCCUGCCAACUCUGAAGAGAGCAGCAGAUCUCCCAGCACAGUGAUCGAGCUCUGCUAUGGGACAGACUGCCUCAUUAAGUGGGUCCCUGACCCCUGUGCAUCCUGACAGGGAGACAUCUCCCAGCAGGGUUUGACAGACACCUCAUACAGGAGAGCUCUGGCUAGCAGGUGGUGGGUGCCCCUCUGGGAUGAAACUUCCACAGGAAGGAUCAGGCAGCAAUCAUUGCUGUUCUGUAGCCUCCACUGGUGAUACCCAGGCAAACAAGGUCUGGAGUGGACUCCCAGCAAACUCCAGCAGACUUGCAGAAGAGGGGCCUGACUGUUAGAAGGAAAACUAAGAAACAGAAAGCAAUAGCAUCAACCUCAACAAAAAGGACAACCACGCAAAAACUUCAUCCAUAGUUUACCAACAGCAAAGACCAAAGGUUGAUAAAUCCAUGAGGUUGAGGAAAAACCAGUGCAAAAAGGCUGAAAAUUCCAAAAACCAGAAUGCCUCAUUUCCUCCAAAGGACCACAGUCCUCACCAGCAAGGGAACAAAAGUGGACAGAGAGUGAGUUUGACGAAUUGUCAGAAGUAGACUUCAGAAGGUGGGUAAUAACAAACUCCUCCAAGCUAACGGAGCAUGUUCUAACACGAUGCAAGGAAGCUAAGAACCUUGAUAAAAAGUUAGAGGAGUUGCUAACUAGAAUAACCAGUUUAGAGAAGGACAUAAAUGACCUGAUGGAGCUGAAAAACACAGCACGAAAACUUCAUGAUGCAUACACAAGUAUCAAUAGCUAAAUUGAUCAAGUGGAGUAAGGGAUAUCAGAGAUUGAAGAGCAACUUAAUGAUAUAAAGUGUGAAGACAAGAUUAGAGAAAACAGAAUGAAAAGGAACAAAUAAGUCCUCCAAGAGAUAUGGAACUAUGUGAAAAGACCAAACCUACAUUUGAUCGGUGUACCUGAAAGUGAUGAGGAGAAUGGAACCAAGUUGGAAAACACUCUUCAGGAUAUUAUCCAGCAGAACUUCCCCAGCCUAGAAAGACUGGCCAACAUUCAAAUUCAGGAAAUACAGAGAACACCACAAAGAUACUCCUUGAGAAGAGCUACCCCAAGACACAUAAUUGUCAGAUUCACCAAAGUUGAAAUGAAGGAAAAAAUAUUAAGGGCAGCCGGAGAGAAGGGUCAGGUUACCCACAAAGGGAGUCCCAUCAGACUAACAGCAGAUCUUUCAGCAGAAACCCUACAAGCCAGAAGAGAGUGGGGGCCAAUAUUCAACCUUCCUAAGAAAAAUAAUUUUCAACCCAGAAUUUCAUAUUCAGCCAAACUAAGCUUCAUAAGUGAAGGAGAAAUAAAAUCCUUUACAGACAAGCAAAUGCUGAGGGAUUUUGUCACCACCAGACCUGCCUUAGAAGAGCUCCUGAAGGAAGCACUAAAUAUGGAAAGGAAAAACCGGUACCAGCCACUACAAAAACAAGCCAAAAUGUAAAGACCAUUGAAACUAUGAAGAAACCGCGUCAACUAAUGGGCAAAAUAACUCGCUACCAUCAUAAUGCUGGUAUCACAUUCACACAUAACAAAAUUAACUUUAAAUGUAAACAGGCUAAAUGCCCCAAUCAAAAAGCGCAAACUGGCAAAUUGGAUAGAGUGAAGACCCAUUGGUGUGGUGUAUUCAGGAGACCCAUCUCAUGUGCAAAGACACACAUAGGCUCAAAAUAAGGGAUGGAGGAAGAUUUACCAAGCAAAUGGAAAGCAAAAAAAAAAAAAAAAAAAAAAAAAAAAAAAAAAAAAAAAAAGAAAGAAAAAAGAAAAAAAAAGCACGGAGUCUCUAAUAAAACAGACUUUAAACCAAUAAAGAUAAAAGAGUCAAAGAAGGGCAUUACAUAAUGGUAAAGGGAUCAAUGCAACAAGAAGGGUUAAACUAUCCUAAAUACAUAUGCACCCGAUACAGGAACACACAGAUUCAUAAAGCAAAUUCUUAGAGACCUACAAAGACACUUAGACUCCCAAACAAUAGUGGAAGACUUUAACACCCCACUGUCAAUAUUAGACAGAUCAAAGAGACAGAAAAUUAUCAAGGAGAUUCAGGACUUGAACUCAGCUCUGGACUAAGUGGACCUAAUAGAAGUCUACAGAACUCUCCACCCCAAAUCAACAGAAUAUACAUUCUUCUCGGCACCACAUAGCACUUAUUCUGAAAUCGACCACAUAAUGGAAGUAAAACACUCCUCAACAAAUGCAAAAGAACAGAAAUCAUAACAGUCUCUCAGACCCCUGUGCAAUCAAAUUAGAACUCAGGAUUAAGAAACUCUCUCAAAACUGCACAACUACAUGGAAACUGAACAAUCUGCUCCUGAAUGACUACUAGGUAAAUAACAGAAUUAAAGCAGAAAUAAAUAAGUCCUUUGAAACCAAUGAGAACAAAAACACAAUGUAGCAGAAUAUCUGGGACACAGCUAAAGCAGUGUGUAGAGGGAAAUUUAUAGCACUAAAUGCCCACAGGAGAAAGUGGAAAGAUCUAAAAUCUACACCCUAACAUCAUCAUUAAAAGAACUAGAGAAGCAAGAGGAAACAAAUUCAAAAGCUAGCAGAAGACAAGAAAUAACUAAGAUCAGAGCAGAACUCAAGGAGAUAGAGACAAGAAAAACCCAUCAAAAAAACAAUGAGUCCAGGAGUUGGUUUUUUGAAAAGAUUAACAAAAUAGACCACUAGCCAGAAUAAUAAAGAAGAACAGAGGGAAGAAUCAAAUAGACACAAUAACAAAUGACAGAGGGAAGAUCACCACUGAUCCCACAGAAAUACAAACUACCAUCAGAGAAUAUGAUAAGCACCUUUACACAAAUGAAAUAGAAAUAGAAAAUCUAGAAGAAAUGGAUAAAUUUCUGGACACAUACACCCUCCCAAGAGUAAACUAGGAAAAGUUGAAUCCCUGAAUAGACCAAUAACAAGUUCUGAAAUUGAGGCAGUAAUUAAUAGCCUACCAACCAUAAAAAGCCCAGGACGAGACGGAUUCACAGGCAUAUUCUACCAGAGGUACAAAGAGGAGCUGGUACCAUUCCUUCUGAAACUAUUCCAAACAAUAGAAAAAGAGGGACUCCUCCAUAACUCAUUUUAUGAGGCCAGCAUCAUCCUGAUACCAAAACCUGGCAGAGACACAACAAAAAAAGAAAAUUUCAGGUGGAUAUCCCUGAUGAACCUCAAUGUGAAAAUCCUCAGUAAAAAACUGGAAAAAUGAAUCUAGCAGCGUAUUAAAAAGCUUAUCCAUCAAAAUCAAGUUGGCUUCAUCCCUGGGAUGCAAGGCUGGUUUAACAUACAUAAAUCAAUAAAUGUAAUCCAUUACAUAAACUGAACCAAUGACAAACAACACAUGAUUAUCUCAAUAGAUGAAGAAAAUGCCUCUGAUAAAAUUCAACCCCCCUUCAUGCUAGAAACUCUCAAUAAACUAGGUAUCGAUGGAACAUAUCUCAAAAUAAUAAGAGCUAUUUAUGACAAACCCACAGCGAAUAUCAUACUGAAGGGGCAAAAGCUGGAAGCGUUCCUUUGAAAACUGGCACAAGACAAGGAUGCCCUCUCUCACCACUCUUAUUCAACAUAAUAUUGGCAAUUCUGGCCAGGGCAAUCAGGCAAGACAAAGAAAUGAAGGGUAUUCAAAUAGGAAAAGAGAAAGUUAAAUUAUCUCUGUUUGCAGAUGACAUGAUUGUAUAUUUAGAAAACCCCAUUGUCUCAGCCCAAAACCUCCUUAAGCUGAUAAGCAACUUCAGCAAAGUCUCAGUAUACUAAAUCAAUGUGCAAAAAUCACAAGCAUUCCUAUACACCAAUAAUAGACAAACAGAGAGGCAAAUCAUGAGCAAACUCCCAUUCACAAUUGCUACAAAGAGAAUAAAAUACCUAGGAAUACCACUUACAACGGAUGUGAAGGACCUCUUCAAGAGAACUACAAAUCACUGCUCAAGGAAAUAAGAAAGGACACACACAAAUGGAAAACUCUUCCAUGCUCAUGGAUAGGAAGAAUCAAUGUUGGGAAAAUGGCCAGACUGCCCAAAAUAAUUGAUAGAUUCAGUGCAAUCACCAUCAAGCUACCAUUGACUUUCUUCACAGAAUUAGAACAAUUCUAAUUUUUCUAAUGAAUUUAAAUUUCUAAAGAAUUUAAAUCCUUUAAAUUUCAUAUGAAACCAAAAAAAGAGCCUGUAUAGCCAAGACAAUCCUAGGCAAAAAGAAUAAAGCUGGAGGCAUCACAUUACCUGACUUCAAACUAUAGUACAAGGCUACAGUCACCAGAACAGCAUGGUAAUGGUACCAAAACAGACAUUUGGACCAAUGGAACAGAACAGAGGCCUCAAAAAUAACACCACGCAUCUACAACCAUCUGAUCUUUGACACACCUGACAAAAACAAGCGAUGGGGAAACGAUUCCCUAUUGAAUAAAUGGUGUUGGGAAAACUGGCCAGCCAUAUGCAGAAAACUGAAACUGGAUCCCUUCCUUACACCUUAUACAAAAAUUAACUCAAGAUGGAUUAAAGAUUUAAACAUAAGACCUAAAACCAUAAAAAUCCUAGAAGAAAACCUUGGCAAUACCAUUCAGCACAUAGGCAUGGGCAAAGACUUCAUGACUAAAACACCAAAAGCAAUGGCAACAAAAGCCAAAAUUGACAAAUGGGAUCUAAUUAAACUAAAGAGCUUUUGCACAACAACAGA